UGGGUCAGGUGGGCGAGGUAGGGUGGUCUGGGGGGAGGCGGCGGCGCUGGAUACCGAGGUAGGGGACAGGGACGGCGGCCUUCACUUCCACAGGAGUAGGUGCGCGAGGGCCUGGGGGUAGGGACGACGGCGGCCACUUCCAUAGAAGCAGUAGGAGCGCGAGGGGGAGCGACGACAGUGGCAGCAGGCACGUGUGGCGGCACGCCGGGCACGGGGAGUUGGGGGAAGGUAGGGACGGUGGUGGCCCCAGCGCCGACGGUUAUCGAGGCUGCGGCUGGAGUCAGGUAGGCGGCGGGAUUGGGGGCGGGAGGUGGUGCAGGGGCCGGGGACAAAGCCGGCAGCGGCGAGGAAAAGAGAGGACGUUUCGGGGAAGACGUCUAGGUAGUCAGCGUACGGGCAAAGACGUCUCGCCGUAGCAGAACCGGUAUAGAGAGGUUCGCGACGUCCGGUCUCCUUCAACAGAAACGAACUAAACCCACCUACCCAACAACAGUAGCACUACGUUGUCUCCUUAGUCGUGACCGGUGCUCCUCUAAUCUCCGAACUCUACCUACGAUGCUACCACCACCGUUUCAAUCCUCGAACUCUAAAUGUCCCUGCUCCACAUACUAUCGUGUCUAAUUACAAGUUCAGAAGUAGUCGUCGUGGAACUGUACUUAGGAUUCUAGGUAGCCGUAAUAAAGAACUAAUAAAAGAUCCCUUCUUAGGCUUCUACUUAACAAACAAAUAAAAAAUUGUCUAAAGUACCGAAUCGUAGAAUACACAAGGUAGAUUGAGAUGGACGUUAAAUAUAGAUGAGGUUCAUGUGGUGUAAGUCUUAACUAUAUGUCGGAUGUCAAUCUAGUCAAGUCUAAAACGGUACUGUUAUAAUGGGCAUAAUAAGUACUAAGGAGGCAACACAUAUAGUGACAUCUUUUGAUGGAGAUAAGGUAUUAUACCAACAUAUAUCGUUUUAUCAACAUAUUCAGAAAAUUUAAAUGCAAGAAGACAUGUAACAGGAGAUGAUGGUAAUUAAAAGGGAAAAAGGUUUAACUUUAAACUUUUCUCGUACUCAAAACUAUCCUAAAACAUAUAGGAAGUCAACGAACGACAUUGUACACGGAAGACCAUGUAACUACAACUAUCUUAGUAUGGUAAAAGGAUGUUAAAGAAGUAGUGUUUCUACAAGAUAAACAAAUCAAACGUGGUUGUAGGUCGACUUACAAAUAUCCUCCCAAUAAUCAUUUCGUUUAUACAAGUACUCCUUUACAUGGCCGUUUUUUUAGCUCGGUUUCACAUUAAGUUUCGACUUUAUCUUAAAAAGAGACAACGUUAACCUUCGUACAGUGUACUCAUAACUCGACGGUAAUAGAUGUUUAAGAAAUAAACAACUAUACUUGUAAUCAACGUUGUACUUAUUAGUUACAAUCAGCUGUUACAACGAAGUACACGUACUCGUAUACCACAUAGAGACUGUGGUAAGUAAAACUUGGUGAUUUUAUUAUCUUCACCAAACUAAGCAUUCAAUAAAAUGUCCAAAGAUAUGUUGUGAAUAAACAAAACAUAAGCGACGUUGUAUACCUGAACUAAUUUUUUUUUUCCCGUUGGACCACGUACAUCGAGGGCGAACGCGUUCCAGGUCCCUUCCCAGGCUGGUGAAACCCGAACUAACGAAAAGCUUUUACAGCUUGGUGAUCUUGGUGAUUUUAUACAUGCGGGACAACGUUUUGUGCCGGGAACACGAUCAUGUUUGUAUUGAUUGAUGUAGGACAAGUAGGGGUAGGACCGACCUUCAUCAUCUCUCUACUCUCAACUUAGAAUGUCAUACUACGUAUGAAAUACUAAAAUAAAUACCACUCGGCUCAAUAGAUAUAACUUGUAUAAAAAGAAAAAACGCCCUACCAACAAUGUACAAACGCGUAAAAAAGUCUCGUUAAACGUCACCUUCUUCGUUGGAGUAUAACUAUUCUUCAGUUACCAAUAAGAUACUUCAUCGCCAAUAACAACAUCGAGUUCCUACUGUUCCGUUGAUUACACGGGUCCUCCACGUCUAUAAUGCUGUAUUGUCUAUGUAAUUCUAAUAACAAAGAGAGAGUAUUUAUAUGUAUCUAGUAAAACUCGGAGCUGAUCUCACGGUCUAAAGACGGGCUUGAAUAUUGUAAUGAUCUAUUUGCAAGACAUAGAACUACUAUUUUGACUUGAGGUGUACUACGUCAAAUAUUAAUUUUAUACUUUUUUGUGUGUUGUACUAGACUUCGCGUGUAUGUAACGAAUCCUCAAUUGUACGUGAAACCACAAUAGUGGAACUACCAGUGUUAGACUUCUAGUGUACCGUAUUUGACUUGAACUGUAUGAUGUUAAAAAAACAGAUUUCAACAUGUAAAAUAAAGAUGAAGUAGUCUAUUGUAUCUUUGUGUUAAUAAAAGUUUGAACACUAAGAGAACCGACGGUUAGAGGGAUACUCGAAGUUUCUUGAACACGACUGAUGUGAAAGAUGGUUUAAGAACACCUGAUAAAAGUCCAUUAGUCGGUGGAUCAUGUGUACCUACACUACUGAAACCUCACAAUAUCUCGUAAACCGACAUGGUCGGUUGAGUUAACAUUAGUACUUCGAAUACACACAAGACCUGGUAAACCACGAAUUCACAAUACCUAAUGUUUAGAACACGAGUACCUACAUUGAGUUCACAAAACCUGGUAAAUCGUUUAUCCCCAUGAAAAUACACUGAACACAAAGGACCUCCUAACAUUCUACCUGUUUGAAACGAUACAGUUCUAACUGAACACAAACUCGGACACUAGUUAUAUAUACAUAAAAACCA
rnacentral:rRNA from 1 species